CUUAAAGGAAUUGACGGGGCCCGCACAAGCGGUGGAGCAUGUGGUUAAUUCGAAGCAACGCGAAGAACCUUACCAGGUCUUGACAUCCCGAUGCUAUUUCUAGAGAUAGAAAGUUACUUCGGUACAUCGGUGACAGGUGGUGCAUGGUUGUCGUCAGCUCGUGUCGUGAGAUGUUGGGUUAAGUCCCGCAACGAGCGCAACCCCUAUUGUUAGUUGCCAUCAUUCAGUUGGGCACUCUAGCGAGACUGCCGGUAAUAAACCGGAGGAAGGUGGGGAUGACGUCAAAUCAUCAUGCCCCUUAUGACCUGGGCUACACACGUGCUACAAUGGUUGGUACAACGAGUUGCGAGUCGGUGACGGCGGGCUAAUCUCUUAAAGCCAAUCUCAGUUCGGAUUGUAGGCUGCAACUCGCCUACAUGAAGUCGGAAUCGCUAGUAAUCGCGGAUCAGCACGCCGCGGUGAAUACGUUCCCGGGCCUU
rnacentral:rRNA from 1 species